rnacentral:misc_RNA from 1 species
AAGUCGUAACAAGGUCUCCGUAGGUGAACCUGCGGAGGGAUCAUUAACACGUUUAUUUCAGUAUAAACGUAUCUAUACCAAACAAAUAGAAAUGAAAGUAGAGAGGAAAAGUUCAUUCGCUUCUUCAAUACUUAGUUACUCUCCCUUUCUAUAUGAAUAAUAUAGUUAGGCUAUUUUUCACUAUUAUUAACCCUUUUCCAACUUUAUAAUAACAAUCCAUGUCUUCUAUGUGAGUAUAUAUUUAUAUAUACUUUUACAUUUUAAUAUGAAAUAUUAAGAGCACAACUCUUAGCAACGGAUAUCUUGGUUCUC